rnacentral:rRNA from 1 species
CCGAUCCAGGGAUUUCCGAAUGGGGAAACCCCGUCAGCAAUGACGAUCCCGCGCUGAAUUCAAUAGGCGUGAGGAAGCGAACCCGGUGAAGUGAAACAUCUCAGUAACCGGAGGAAAAGAAAGCGAAUGCGAUUCCCUCAGUAGUGGCGAACGAAAGGGGAACAGCCCAAACCAAGAGGACUUGUCCUCCUGGGGUACGGGCCUCAAUGUGAGACUGAAGAGGUUAGGCGAAGCGUUUGAAUGACGCGUCAUAGAGGGUGAGAACCCCGUAGCCAAAAACCCGAUCAGCUCUAGAGGUACCCAGAGUAGCACCGGACACGUGAAACCCGGUGUGAAAAAAACGCAGACCACUGCGUAAGGCUAAAUACACGAUGUCGACCGAUAGUGAAGAGUACCGCGAGGGAAAGGUGAAAAGCACCCCUGUUAGGGGAGUGAAAAGUACCUGAAACCUGUUGCUUACAAGCGGUCGGAGCCCCCUCGUGGGGUGACGGCGUACCUUUUGCAUAAUGGGUCUGGGAGUUAACGUAAGGAGCCAGCCUAAGGUCCCUCAGGACCGGAGGCGCAGCGAAAGCGAGUCUGAAUAGGGCGUUUAGUUCCUUGCGUUAUACCCGAAGCGGAGGUGAUCUACCCAUGACCAGGUUGAAGCCCAAGUAACAUUGGGUGGAGGACCGAACUGAUGGCACUUGAGAAUGCCCCGGAUGAGUUGUGGGUAGGAGUGAAAGGCUAAUCAAACCCCGUAAUAGCUGGUUCUCUCCGAAAUAUAUUUAGGUAUAGCGUCCAGCGCUGACCCGUGGGGGUAGAGCACUGAAAAGGCUAGGGGACACACCCGUCUACCAACCCUUAUCAAACUCCGAAUACCACGGGGCGAAGCUGGGCAGUCAGGCAGUGGGGGAUAAGCUUCAUUGCCGAGAGGAAAACAGUCCAGACCACCAAUUAAGGCCCCAAAGACGUAGCUAAGUGGAUUAAAGAAUGUGAACUUGCACAGACAAUAGGGAUGUUGGCUUAGAGGCAGCCACCAUUUAAACAGUGCGUAACAGCUGACCUAUCGAGUGAGUUUGCGUCUAAGAUGAUCGGGACUAAGCGACGCGCCGAAGUUGUGGGCUCGUCAGGGAGCGAUCCCUGGCGAGCGGUAGGAGAGCGUUCCAGCAGCGGUGAAGCGGAAGCGGUAAGCGACCGUGGAGCGGCUGGAAGUGAGUAUCCAGACAUAAGUAACGAUAAGAAUGGUUGAAAUCCAUUCCGCCGUAAGGAUAAGGUUUCCAGGGCAAGGGUCGUCCCCCCUGGGUUAGUCGGGAGCUAAGCCGAGGCCGUAAGGAGUAGGCGAUGCACAUCAGGUUAAUAUUCCUGAACCAAGUAGAGAGGACGGGAUCAUGGAGUCAGCAGACCUUAUUGACUUGGCAGUCCGAGGCUACGGCCGAGGACGCGCUGAUGAAGUGAUCUCCAGGAAAAGCCUCUACAUUAGCCCGUACCGCAAACCGACACAGGUAUCCGGGAUGAGUAUUCUAAGGCGCGUGAGUUAAACCUCCUCAAGGAACUCGACAAAUUAACCCCGUAUCUUCGGUAUAAGGGGUGCUCCGGGCAACCGGAGUCGCAGUGAAGAGGCCCUACCGACUGUUUAGCAAAAACACAGCUCUCUGCUAAGUCGCAAGACGACGUAUAGGGAGUGACGUGUGACCAAUGCGGAAAGGUGAAAGCUGGAGCUGCAAGGUUCCGGUCUAAGCCCCCGUGAAUGUCGGCCGUAACUAUAACGGUCCUAAGGUAGCGAAAUUCCUUGUCGGGUAAGUUCCGACCUGCACGAAUCACGUAACGAGUAGGGCAUUGUCUCGAGGAGGGGCUCAGUGAAAUUGUAGUCGCGGUGAAGAUGCCGCGUUCCCGCAGCAGGACGGAAAGACCCUAUAGACCUUUACUGUAACCUGGUAUUGGCGCUUGAGAUGUGAUUCGUAGAAUAGCUGGGAGACUUCGAAGUCCGACCUCAGGGUCGGAUGGAGUCGAAAUAUGAAAUACCAGUAUUCAUUUCUUAGGCUUCUAACCCAUAUUCCAUUAGCUGGAGUGGGGACAUUGCUAGGGGGUCAGUUUGACUGGGGCGGUCUCCUCCGAAAGAGUAACGGAGGAUUGUGAAGGUCAGCUCAGGCCGGUUGGUAAUCGGCCGUCGAGUGCAUGGAUAUAAGCUGGCUUAACUGCGAGACCUACAAGUCGAGCAGGUACGAAUGUAGACCCAAGUGAU